GCGCUGGAGAAUUGAGGGGGGCUGCUCCUAGUACGAGAGGACCGGAGUGGACGCAUCACUGGUGUUCGGGUUGUCAUGCCAAUGGCACUGCCCGGUAGCUAAAUGCGGAAGAGAUAAGUGCUGAAAGCAUCUAAGCACGAAACUUGCCCCGAGAUGAGUUCUCCCUGAGACUUUAAGUCUCCUGAAGGAACGUUAAAGACGAUGACGUUGAUAGGUCGGGUGUGUAAGCGCAGCGAUGCGUUGAGCUAACCGAUACUAAUGAACCGUGAGGCUUAACCUUACAACGCCGAAG
rnacentral:rRNA from 1 species